GAAUUCGCCCUUAGAGUUUGAUCCUGGCUCAGGACGAACGCUGGCGGCGUGCUUAACACAUGCAAGUCGAACGAGAAUCUGUGGAUAGAGGAUUCGUCCAAUUGAAGCAGAGGAAAGUGGCGGACGGGUGAGUAACGCGUGAGGAACCUGCCUUGGAGAGGGGGACAACAGCUGGAAACGGCUGCUAAUACCGCAUGAUGCAUAGAGAGGACAUCCUUUCUAUGCCAAAGAUUUAUCGCUCUGAGAUAGGCCUCGCGUCUGAUUAGGUAGUUGGUGAGGUAACGGCCCACCAAGCCGACGAUCAGUAGCCAGACUGAGAGGUUGAACGGCCACAUUGGGACUGAGAUACGGCCCAGACUCCUACGGGAGGCAGCAGUGGGGAAUAUUGGGCAAUGGGCGCAAGCCUGACCCAGCAACGCCGCGUGAAGGAAGAAGGCUUUCGGGUUGUAAACUUCUUUUAAGGGGGAAGAGGAGAAGACGGUACCCCUAGAAUAAGCCACGGCUAACUACGUGCCAGCAGCCGCGGUAAUACGUAGGUGGCAAGCGUUGUCCGGAUUUACUGGGUGUAAAGGGCGUGUAGCCGGGGGAGCAAGUCAGAUGUGAAAUCUAUGGGCUUAACCCAUAAACUGCAUUUGAAACUGUUCUUCUUGAGUGCUGGAGGGGCAAUCGGAAUUCCUUGUGUAGCGGUGAAAUGCGUAGAUAUAAGGAGGAACACCAGUGGCGAAGGCGGAUUGCUGGACAGUAACUGACGGUGAGGCGCGAAAGUGUGGGGAGCAAACAGGAUUAGAUACCCUGGUAGUCCACACUGUAAACG
rnacentral:rRNA from 1 species